CCUACGGGAGGCAGCAGUAAGGAAUAUUGGUCAAUGGACGAAAGUCUGAACCAGCCAUGCCGCGUGAAGGAUGACGGCCCUCUGGGUUGUAAACUUCUUUUAUAUGGGACGAAAAAAGGGAAUUCUUUCUCACUUGACGGUACCAUAGGAAUAAGCACCGGCUAACUCCGUGCCAGCAGCCGCGGUAAUACGGAGGGUGCAAGCGUUAUCCGGAUUCACUGGGUUUAAAGGGUGCGUAGGUGGGUAGGUAAGUCAGUGGUGAAAUCUCCGAGCUUAACUCGGAAACUGCCAUUGAUACUAUGUAUCUUGAAUUUUUUGGAGGUGAGCGGAAUAUGUCAUGUAGCGGUGAAAUGCUUAGAUAUGACAUAGAACACCAAUUGCGAAGGCAGCUCACUACGAAAUUAUUGACACUGAGGCACGAAAGCGUGGGGAUCAAACAGGAUUAGAUACCCUGGUAGUCCACGCCCUAAACGAUGGAUACUCGACAUCAGCGAUACACUGUUGGUGUCUGNGNGAAGACAUAUAUCCNCCNGGAGACGACGCGAGUAGAACGUACGAAAGAAGUAGACGCGUGAGACGNGCGACGGACGACGACGAGGGAGGAGG
rnacentral:rRNA from 1 species